CUUCUUCAAUCUGUUGCGGGCAGAUGAAGUGAAUGUGCGUGUCGAUGGCCCCCGCCGUCACGAUCAUCCCUUCAGCCGCGAUGAUCUCGGUGCCGGGGCCGAUGACGAUGUCCACGCCCGGCUGCACAUCCGGGUUGCCCGCUUUGCCGAUGGCGACGAUGCGCGAGCCUUUGAGGCCAAUGUCUGCCUUGACGAUGCCCCAAUGGUCGAGGAUCACCGCGUUGGUGAUGACGCAAUCGCACGCCUCAUGCGCCCCGGGGCCGUUCACCACUUGGCUUUGGCCCAUG
rnacentral:sRNA from 1 species